rnacentral:rRNA from 1 species
UAGUGAUCCGGUGGUUCUGAAUGGAAGGGCCAUCGCUCAACGGAUAAAAGGUACUCCGGGGAUAACAGGCUGAUACCGCCCAAGAGUUCAUAUCGACGGCGGUGUUUGGCACCUCGAUGUCGGCUCAUCACAUCCUGGGGCUGAAGUAGGUCCCAAGGGUAUGGCUGUUCGCCAUUUAAAGUGGUACGCGAGCUGGGUUUAGAACGUCGUGAGACAGUUCGGUCC